AGCGAACGCUGGCGGCAGGCUUAACACAUGCAAGUCGAACGGGCAUCUUCGGAUGUCAGUGGCAGACGGGUGCGUAACACGGGGGAACGUACCCUUCGGUUCGGAAUAACUCAGGGAAACUUGAGCUAAUACCGGAUACGCCCUCUUGGGGAAAGGUUUACUGCGGAAGGAUCGGCCCGCGUCCGAUUAGCUGGUUGGUGGGGUAACGGCCUACCAAGGCGACGAUCAGUAGCUGGUCUGAGAGGAUGAUCAGCGACACUGGGACUGAGACACGGCCCAGACUCCUACGGGAGGCAGCAGUGGGGAAUAUAGGACAGUGGGCGCAAGGCUGAUGCAGCCAUGCCGGGUGAGUGAUGAAGGCCUUAGGGUUGUAAAGCUCUUUUGUCCGGGACGAUAAUGACGGUACCGGAAGAAUAAGCCCCGGCUAACUUCGUG
rnacentral:rRNA from 1 species